rnacentral:rRNA from 1 species
UGGGGAAUAUUGCACAAUGGGCGCAAGCCUGAUGCAGCCAUGCCGCGUGUGUGAAGAAGGCCUUCGGUUGUAAAGCACUUUCAGCGAGGAGGAAGGUGGUGGACUUAAUACGUUCAUCAAUUGACGUUACUCGCAGAAUAAGCACCGGCUAACUACGUGCCAGCAGCCGCGGUAAUACGUAGGGUGCAAGCGUUAAUCGGAAUUACUGGGCGUAAAGCGUGCGCAGGCGGUUUGCUAAGACCGAUGUGAAAUCCCCGGGCUCAACCUGGGAACUGCAUUGGUGACUGGCAGGCUAGAGUAUGGCAGAGGGGGGUAGAAUUCCACGUGUGAGCAGUGAAAUGCGUAGGGAUGUGGAGGAAUACCGAUGGCGAAGGAGCCCCCU